GUAAGGGGUUCCCGGGAGGCCGCCUCGGGGGCGUCGGCCCUGACGGGCAUGGUGGGCCGGGUGCCAACCCCGCGCGCGGGAGGGGAGCCCCGCGGGAAGCACGGCGUCAGAUUUUUAUACAUGAGUGAAAAAGACAUUUGUUGCAAGUAGAAGUGACACAGCAUUUUUUUAGAAUGUCUGAAGAUGAAGAAAAAGUGAAAUUACGCCGUCUUGAACCAGCUAUCCAGAAGUUUAUUAAGAUAGUAAUCCCAACAGACCUGGAGAGGUUAAGAAAGCACCAGAUAAAUAUUGAGAAGUAUCAAAGGUGCAGAAUCUGGGACAAGUUGCAUGAAGAGCAUAUCAAUGCAGGACGUACAGUCCAGCAACUCCGCUCCAAUAUUCGAGAAAUGGAGAAGCUCUGCUUGAAGGUUCGAAAGGAUGACCUGGGACUUCUGAAGAGAAUGAUAGAUCCUGUUAAAGAAGAAGCAUCAGCAGCAACAGCAGAAUUUCUCCAACUCCAUCUGGAAUCUGUAGAAGAACUUAAGAAACAAUUUAAUGAUGAAGAAACUUUAUUACAGCCUUCUUUGACCAGAUCCAUGACUGUUGGUGGAACAUUUCACACUGCUGAAGAUGAAGCUGAUCCUCAGAGUAUGACUCAGAUAUAUGCGUUACCUGAAAUUCCUCGAGAUCAAAAUGCUGCAGAAUCAUGGGAAACCUUAGAAGCGGACUUAAUUGAACUUAGCCAACUGGUCACUGAUUUCUCUCUCCUAGUGAAUUCUCAGCAGGAGAAGAUUGACAGCAUUGAAGACCAUGUCAACAGUGCUGCUGUGAAUGUUGAAGAGGGAACCAAAAACUUGGGGAAGGCUGCAAAAUACAAGCUGGCAGCUCUGCCUGUGGCAGGUGCACUCAUCGGAGGAGUGGUAGGGGGUCCGAUUGGCCUCCUUGCAGGCUUCAAAGUAGCAGGAAUUGCAGCUGCACUUGGUGGUGGGGUGUUGGGCUUCACAGGUGGAAAAUUGAUACAAAGGAGGAAACUGAAAAUGAUGGAGAAGCUCACUUCCAGCUGUCCAGAUCUUCCCAGACAAACUGACAAAAAAUGCAGUUAAAAACCAAACUUCAGUAUUACUGCAUCAACAUGUCUAUCCUAAUGAGGACCUUUGCUGCUGUUGGACACUCAGUCAGCUUAAGGAACAUGAUUAUAUGAAGAUAGUGACUAUAGAUGCUCAAGUGGGAUUGAGCUGUGAUAAGUGGAUAUACUUUGUUGUUUGCUGGGGUGUUAAUGGGGAUGUUAGAGACUGAGGAGCCUGCACUCGGGGUGUAUAAUAUUUGUUAGGUAAAAUUUAAGGACUGCCAGGGAGUGGAUUUUUUUCUGCUUGGAAAUGUGAAAGUUAACCCAUAACUUUGAUGAGGACUUGUGACGUGUGGACAUGUUGGGUUAUGGAAGGAUGGUUUUCAGAAUAGUUUCUUCUAUCACCCUGAAUUGGAGGGCCUAAGGCUAAGCAUUUGUAAAUGUGCUUAUUUAUCUCCUAAAUAUAGGCUAUUUAGGCAUUUUAGCAAAGAAAAGAAUGGAAGUUCAGGAGCCUUUCAAAUCAAAUAGGAAAAUCAGCAUCUAGCAAAGGGCACAAGUGAACUGCACAGUGGAGUCCAUUUGGUGAGCCCUGUUGCAGUUUGAUCUAACUUUAUCAUCUGGUGAAAGAAACUAAUAGUGAAAAAAAAAUGGAAAGAGAGGCCCAACUUUUUUUCCAAAUAUCUUACUUUGUGACACUGGCUUCUUCUCUGAACUCUUUCUUCUGUCUCUCUUUAAAUAAAGCACACAGAGCCUUAAGUGGUAGGAGGUUUGCUAAGCCAGCCAUCAACCUGUCUCUUCACACCUCAAUUAUCUAGUGCCCUCUGCCUUCCCUCCCUUUAAUUUUGACAACUUCUUUGACUUAUGGGGUGGAUUCUACCCAUGUGUAAUGCAGACUUUUCUCAUAAUCUUUUUGAAAAACUUAUUUUCUGCCAUCUCUUUUCAUGUUCUCCUGUAACCUCUAGGUAAGAAACAGGUGUCGAUCUCCAUGUAUUUCCAGCAUUGUUAGAGUUUGAGCUAAAAAAUAAGCAAGAGCAGAACACCAGAUCAUUUCUUGGGGCAUCUUCCUAUUUCAAAGAUCUCAUGUACCUGCUAUACGGGGAAUCUCUGACCCUGAGUCUUUUCAGCUGGCACUUGGGGGAGCUAAGAAUUAGCUUUCUACCUCACUUUUGUUACUACUGUCCUUUUCCCAAGGCUUUGCUGUCUCCUAUGCUUUCCUUCACUUUUCACAGCUGCUGUUUCUUCCCAAGAAUGGCAUUCAUGCUUGCCUUUCCUCACAUUCAGGAUGACGAUGGACAAAGCCUGAUGCCAAGACUCAGUCCUGGUGAAGGAUUUGUGGUGCUAAUCCCAACGCUUGACCUUGGCAGAAAGCAUGGCCCAGUCCAACUCAAGGAGUGAAUGAUGCAACAGAAGAAAUCUGGAAAACAUCUCUAGGAUUUGGAAGUCAUGAAUUGAAAUUUUCAGAAUUUGGAGUUGAGGAGCCUGAGGCCUGGAGUAGACUGGAUAAAAUGAGAAGACUUCCACCUGUAACAUUCUUUGAUUCGUGGUUCAGAGGGGAAGAAGUCUAAACUAUAGUGUUCUAAGAACUCUUUGGCUAACCCCAGCUUAUGAAGAGUUUCUCCUAUAUUCACUUGUAAGAAUUUACCUUUCACAUUUAUGUCUAAAAUCAAUUCUGAGUUAAUUUUUUAUAGGAAGAAUUUCCUUUUUUGGUAUCAGGAUAGUCAGGUGGUCCAGUACCAUUUGUUGAAAAGAUUAGCCUCCACUGAACUGUCUUUGCACCUUUAAAAAAAAAUCAAUUACUAUAUUUCAUGUCUAUUUCUCGAUUCCCUAUUCUGUCUCACAGCUCUAUGUACCUACUUUUUCACUGAUAAUACACUGUCUUAAUUAUUUUAGCUUUAUAGUGUCUUAAAAUUGGGUAGUAUGAGUCUUCCAAUUUUGUUCCUUUUUCAAUAUUAUUUUUGUUUUUCUAGUUUUACCUUUCCAUGUAAGUUUUAGAAUGAGCCUGUAUGGCCUCAUUUACUCAGCAGUAAAUCUAGCUGUGAUUUUGACUGAGAUUGCAUUAAAUCUAUAGAUCAAUUUCGGGAGAACUGAUAUCUUAACAGAAUCGAGUCUUCCAAUAGAUGUUUCUUCAUUUAUUUUGGUCGUCUUUGAUUUCUUUCAUCAGCAUUUUGUAGUUUUCAGCAUAUAGAUCUUGUACAUAUUGUGUUAGAUUUAUACCUAGAUAGUCUUUUUAAAAAUGUUUUCCUUUGGAGCUGUUAUAAAUGGUACUCCAAACGUUUAAUGAUUUCCAACUGUUCUCAGUGUAUAGAAAUAAAAGUGAUUUUUAAAAAGUUGACCAUGUAUCCUGCUAAAAUCACUUAUCAGUUCUAGGAGCUGUUUUGUAAAUUCACUAGGAGUUUUUACAUAUACAAUCAUGUCAUCUACAAAGAAAGAUAGCUUUUUUUCCAGGCUAAACACCUUUUAUUUAUUUUCGUGUUGUAUUGACUUGCUAGGACAUUUGUAUGACAUUAAACAGAACUAAUGAGAGUGGACAUCUUUGUCAAAAACAAGAAAAUACUUAGGAAGAAAUUUAGCCAAGGAGGUGAAAGAUCUGUACACUGAAAACUAUGAAACAUUGAUGAAAGAAGACACAAAUAAAUGGAUAGAUAUUCUACGUUCAUGAACUAGAAGAAUUAAUAUUGUUAACAUUUCCAUACUACCUAAAGUGUUGUAUAUCUGUGCUGUCAAAUACAGGAGCCACUACGCACAUGUGGCCAUUGAGUACCUGAAAUAGGCUUUGUGUCUGAGAAACUGACUUUUAAAUUUUGUAUCAUUUUAUUUUUAACUUUAGUAUUCAUAUAGGGCUAGUAACUAUCAUAUUGGGCAGCACAGCACUGAUUAUUACUACAAGGAGUCAAAGAAGCACAAUCAGUAAAAGACAAUGAAAGAGCCAAAAAAAAAAAAAAAAAAAAAAAGGAAAGAAAGAAAAGAAAAUCAUGAUGACAGUGCCAUAGAACUCAAGUAGACAGCAGAGUAUUCCACAGCACCAAAAACUGUAAGAAUGGUUAAUGAGGAUACGUUUGGUAAAGUCCCAUUAGCAGCAGAGGUUUUUUCCAUGGGAAAAACCUGGAUUCAAACAACAGGGGUUAUUUAAACAAAUCAUGAAACAAUCUAGUGAAAGGCAAACUAUACAGCCAUUAGAAAUAAUGGAGAAACAUUAAUGACAUGGGAAGAUGUUUACAAUGUGUGGACAAGUUAAAAAGAAAAUUCAUAAAAUAGCAUGGCUCUAAUUUUAUAACACAGACAGAUGUCUAGAUCUCUUUUGUGGAUUUAUGGGUGAUUUUAAAUUCUUUGGCAUUUUAUAAACUUUCAGAAUUAUCCACAAGGAAGAUAAAAAAUUUUAUAAUCAGGAAUAAGGAACAAAUGAUGUGCUUAAUACACACAUACACAAACACAAAUAUGUGAAGAGAGUACACACCUUUGCCUGGUUCCUGAUCUUAAGUGAAAAGUACUCAGUCUUUCACCAUUAAGUAUGACAUUAGUUGUAGGUUUUUUGUAAAUUUUUUUUAUCAGAUUGAGGAAUUUUCCAUAUAUUCCUAGUCUGUUAAGCAUUUUUGUCAUGAUGGAUAUUGAAUUUUGUCAAAUGCUUCUGCAUGUGUUGAUGUGAUCAGUAAAUGCCAAAUGACACUCAUUGUUUUUUGAAGGCUGAACCAGCCUCGCACACUUGGGAUAAAGCCCACUUGAUUGUGAUAUAUUAUUCUGUUUUCAAAUGUUACUGGAUUCAAUUUCCUAAUAUUAUUUACUACUUUUAAAUUCAACUUAUACAAUGAUGCAGCUUGAACUUGUUUCAUGUAUUACAGUGUAAAAACACUGUAUCCUGCCAUUUAAGUUACUUAACCUCUUUGAACAUCAGCUUGCUGAUAUGUAAAAUGAGAACUGCUUUAUUUAACUUAAUUGUAUUGUGUUUAUAGUCUAACAGACUUGGAUUUGAGUCCGAAUAUAUUAUUGCCUAUAAUAAUCACAGCUAGCCUUCUAAUAGCACUGGCCAUGCAUCAGACAGUGUUCUCAGAACCAUAGAUAAACACAUUAAUUUAAUGCUAACAAUCCUAUUAAGCAGCCACUAUUUUUAUUCCUAUUUUACAGCUGAGGAAACAGAGACGUAGAGGUGGUAAGAAAUUACCCAGGGUGAUAUAACUAGUAGGUAAGAAAACAGAAUUUGAAUCUAAGCAGUCUGGAUCUAGAGUCUGCACCUAACCACAAUGCUGUGUUGCUUCUUCAGUGACUCCAUUUUGGUAAAGUUACAAAAUCUCUCAGAGCUUAACUUCUUCAUUGUACAAGUGGAAAUGAUACCUAUCUUAUAAGUUUGUUACAGGUUAACUGAAAAACACAUAUAAAGUAGGGCUGGUACUGUGCCUGGCUCUGUCAGUGCUUGAUGUCUAUUUUGCUGGCAGGACCAAAUAAGGUAAAAUACACUGGACUGAUUUGUAAAAUAGAAAGUACUUGUAAUUACAUAAUCAAUAUCAGUUGUACAAUAUGAACGUUAUAUGAAAAUAAAAAUGGUGUUUAGGGACCCAGACCACUGUAUAUAUUGCCCAGUGGCUGACGGAGAGGCACAUUCAGAGAAUCAAAACUACAGAGAUGAAUAGGAGAGGUGGGGAAUAGGGCAAAGGGGUAGUUGAUAAAUAUUAGGAUAUAGUCCACACAUAACACAUUCAAAGUCAUCAAACUCUUAAACUUAUAAUAAACAGAUUAAACUAAAAGCAAAAUAAAGCAUUUAUUGAACACCUACUAAGCUGUCACAAAGCAGUUAGUAUAGCAAGAGAUAAUAAUAAAAACUAAAUAAAUAAAAUUUGCCUUUUAA